CCUACGGGGGGCUGCAGUGGGGAAUAUUGGACAAUGGGGGCAACCCUGAUCCAGCCAUGCCGCGUGUGUGAAGAAGGCCCUCGGGUUGUAAAGCACUUUCAGUGAGGAAGAACGCCUGGUGGUUAAUACCCAUCAGGAAAGACAUCACUCACAGAAGAAGCACCGGCUAACUCCGUGCCAGCAGCCGCGGUAAUACGGAGGGUGCGAGCGUUAAUCGGAAUUACUGGGCGUAAAGCGCGCGUAGGUGGCUUGAUAAGCCGGUUGUGAAAGCCCCGGGCUCAACCUGGGAACGGCAUCCGGAACUGUCAAGCUAGAGUGCAGGAGAGGAAGGUAGAAUUCCCGGUGUAGCGGUGAAAUGCGUAGAGAUCGGGAGGAAUACCAGUGGCGAAGGCGGCCUUCUGGACUGACACUGACACUGAGGUGCGAAAGCGUGGGUAGCAAACAGGAUUAGAUACCCGAUAGUC
rnacentral:rRNA from 1 species